UACGGAGGGUGCAAGCGUUAUCCGGAUUCACUGGGUUUAAAGGGUGCGUAGGCGGUCAGGUAAGUCCGUGGUGAAAUCUCUGAGCUUAACUCAGAAACUGCCAUGGAUACUAUUUGUCUUGAAUGUUGUGGAGGUAAGCGGAAUAUGUCAUGUAGCGGUGAAAUGCUUAGAUAUGACAUAGAACACCAAUUGCGAAGGCAGCUUACUACACAAAUAUUGACGCUGAGGCACGAAAGCGUGGGGAGCAAACAGG
rnacentral:rRNA from 1 species